GGGGGAGGAAGAGAUCAGACUCUGUAGAAAGUGGGGAACUUUGCACAGAAGUCCAAAUGAGUACACACUCUAGGUUAGUGUUCCCCAAACCGGAGACCCUUCCCUGGAAGAUGUAUUCAGGGCUCCAUUACCAAUUACUAACCCAUGGGAAAAGCUGAACAACACUAAGAGUGGGCAGAGAAACGUGUCAUGACUUACUCGCCACCUGGCAACCAUUACACAACAUGUCAGUGGGAGCCUCACCAAUCAAAUGGAGACAGCAGGAGAGACGAUAUCAGGCGAGAGUUGAGAAACGAACGCAAGAACCAUGCGGCUGGAAACAGUGGAACUUGGAUGUGAUCUUCCAAGCCUUCCAAGACCAAAGUCUGCCUCCAAGUGGAAGAGCUUGUAAUUUGGGUUUUUGGUAACUCUGAUUGUCCUGUUUGUCUGACUAUUGUCACCAAGGAAGCCAAAGGGAACCCUGUAGUAACUGAAACCUAAGUACAGGCUGUGUUCCCUGGACUGAGCUCAGAAUUCAUAAAGGAUCCCAGGGAGGCCCUUGCUGCUGCAGCUCCAUGGUCUCAGACACCCAGCCUUCUCCAUGGUUGGAAAAUUAUCACUGGAGACCCCCAAGCCGUCCUUUCCAUAAGUCACUGUGUUAAGAUGACUAGACUGGGGAAAAGCCUAAAGAGGAUGUUUAUAAUGAUAAUGUAAAACAGACCCGAUAGGGAGAGAUGGCAGCAGACAGAAGAAAUAUAGCAUGAGGCUAACAAGGGACCAUUGCAAGGUCAACUCCAUGUACACCUGCAGUGCUCCAUGUAUACUGGAGGCGCUCCCACAACUGCCCAUGACCUCACAGGGAGAUCUGAAUAUUACCUUCAAGAUGGCGAUGCAGUGGGACAUGAGGCCCCUGGGGAGACAAGAGGAAAGUUAUCAGUACUGUUCUGAAGUGCCCAUCUCCAUCCAGCUCCCCCCUCUGUCCUUCAGCCGGCACCAGAUUGCCUCAGCAGACAACGCCUCCACACAGAAUUCCCCAGUGCUAUAGCAUACACAGCCGACCCACUCCUCCAGCCAGCUCUGUCACCACCUGCCAAGUUCAACGUUUGAUGUCUCCGCAUGUCCAACAUGUCCUUUUCCUUAGACUCAGCCUGGAAGAGUGAGAACCCUGGGAUGGGUUGUGACCGACCGACACUUUGAGAGUUGAAAACUUAGAAGCAGAGUGGAGUAUUCCUUGUGCAGCACCAUCUGGCAGCUUCUCUCACACCAACAGUCAGGACUGAAGCCUGUAAGGUGAGAUGAAUCCUUUGUUCCUCAAGUUGCUUUUGGCAAUGGUAUUCACAGCAAUAGAAACCUACCGAGUGCAAGAGGACACUGAAUGUCAACAUCCAGUCUUCGUAUGCACCGCACAGCCUAGUGGUAGAGUGAACCCAACAUGCACAAGCCAUGUUUGAUCCCCAGCACUUGGGAGGGGGAGGAGGAGGGGUAGGGGGAAGGAGGAGGGGGAGGAGGACCUUUGCUUCCAAUUCUUGGCGUCCUAUCUGGAAGAGAAGGCUGGGGAGUGGUUUUAUCACCCUCUGAAGUGCUUUCAUGCAGACCUUUGGAGCUCUGUGCCUAUCAGUGAGGGAAAGGUCACAGCACAGCAGCAAAUAUCAGAAAAAGGCACUAGGGGCAGUGUCUUCAUAUCCUGGAGAGUCUCCUAGAUGAACUGUUUCUGUUUGCCUUGGUGGCUGGAUGACAGAUGGGCUUAAGCUGGGAAGUUCAACUAUGUGACCUCCGUGGCCAGCUCUGAGGUUUUAUGACUACACAAGAGAUGUAACACAAAUGAACAUUUUCCGAAAGAGAAACCAAACAUACAAGCAGCCACCCAGAGCAGAUGAUGUGAGUUCCCCCGAUGAACCACAUGCUACCCACCCGCUAAGCAGAGAAGGGGGUCCUGGAUACUGCAUACCUUUCCCAGCCCGCUGUCACCCACUAUUCCAGAACUUCUGCCAUUCCAACCCCCACUGAAGCAUCUCUAGUGCCAUCAGAGAAGACUGUCUGGCAUUCAGUAUCCCCCCACCCUCUCCCCCUGCAAGUUACAGAACCCAGUGCCGUGUCCCCCGUGGAAAUGGAAACCUAUGGAAGACAUCAGUGCCCAAAUAAUGACCAGGAGAGUAAGGAUCCCUGUUAGGAAGUGAUCAGGCUUCUCUGCACACCAUAGACCUGGAGGAUUCUGACCAUCCCCUUUAACCUUGUACUCUGAUCCCAAGUGCUGUGAAGGCCCUGAACAUUCAGCCUUCACAGUGGGAGUUGAAGCGGAGGCAGUAUCCUGGAAGUCUCACCAAAAUUCAAAUACCCCCCAAAUAUGGCCACACUUCAUCAAGAAUGAACAUCAAACCAUGUAGCAGGCAUCUCCAAAUCCAGAGAUGAGGCCCAUAACUAGAGAAGAGAAGCGGGUUAGAUGCUGACGAGGGUGAGGAAGAAAAAGAUAGGCGUGGUUCCUAGCCUUAACGGAUGCAAGUUCACGCUCUACUCACAUCAGAAAAGAACAUUUGUUGAGCAUCUAUAUUGAGCAUCUGGCACAGCAUAGACCUUUUGAUCCUGUCACCAACCCUGAAAUGUUAAUGUGCUUACAUUUCUAAAGGAAGGAUCCUUGAACGGGUAAGACAAUUCACUGGCCUGUCAGUGAUACACAGUAGGACAGGGAGAGGAACUCAACGCUUGCUGACGCCACAGCCAGACCACCAAACCAGGAAGCUAACAGCUCUUCUAGUUACCUGUCUGUUGGAACACAGCAUCUGUCCUGGUCCCAAGUGCAAUAAAUGGAGCCACUUAACAUCAACUUCAUAUGUACCACAUUACCACCCUGGUCCUGAGUGUAUGUCAGGCUUUGCACUUCCUGUCUAGUUCCUUCCUAACACACAUUGGCCUUUCCCUUCUGUUAGCAGCUGCAUCGCUGCCUCUGGGUCAUGUGUGCCUCCUGGGUGACUCUUCCUAACACUAUUCUAUUUACUCCAUAUAAGCGGUGACUGUGCACAGGACCAGAUGCAGCAAAGCCCUUCCUGUCCCUGUACAAAUGCUCCUAGCAACAUCUGUCACCCACACGAAGCCCUAGGCAGAACCGAAUGCUUCAUUUCCACCAGAGAGCUGGGAACAAGUAGCUCUCAGCUCUCCAGGAAAAUUCUGGACCUCCAAUGCCAGAUUGGAACUCCUGAGGUCCCCUACUUUAUGGACUAAAAGAUUUACCAGUUGUCAAACCCAAUGAGAAAGCCAGUGUAGGACUACCCUAACUGUUGAAGCGUUCGGCCUCAAGGACCAUGUAACU